rnacentral:rRNA from 1 species
AUUGAACGCUGGCGGCAGGCCUAACACAUGCAAGUCGAGCGAGCGGCGGACGGGUGAGUAAUGUCUGAGAAACUGCCUGAUGGAGGGGUAUAACUACUGGAAACGGUAGAUAAUACCGCAUACGCUCAGAUGUGCCCAUGUGGGAUUAGCUAGUGGGGGGGGUAACGGCUCACCUAGGAGACGAUCCCUAGCGGGUCUGAGAGGAUGACCAGCCACACUGGAACUGAGACACGGUCCAGACUCCUACGGGAGGCAGCAGGGGGGAAUAUUGCACAAGGGGCGAAAGCCUGAUGCAGCCAUGCCGCGUGUGUGAAGAAGGUCUUCGGGUUGUAAAGCACUUUCAGCGGGGAGGCGUUACUCGAAGAAGAAGCACCGGCUAACUCCGUGCCAGCAGCCGCGGUAAUUC